rnacentral:rRNA from 1 species
CUGGCGGCCGUGCCUAAUACAUGCAAGUCGAGCGAAUGGAUUAAGAGCUUGCUCUUAUGAAGUUAGCGGCGGACGGGUGAGUAACACGUGGGUAACCUGCCCAUAAGACUGGGAUAACUCCGGGAAACCGGGGCUAAUACCGGAUAACAUUUUGAACCGCAUGGUUCGAAAUUGAAAGGCGGCUUCGGCUGUCACUUAUGGAUGGACCCGCGUCGCAUUAGCUAGUUGGUGAGGUAACGGCUCACCAAGGCAACGAUGCCGUAGCCGACCUGAGAGGGUGAUCGGCCACACUGGGACUGAGACACGGCCCAGACUCCUACGGGAGGCAGCAGUAGGGAAUCUUCCGCAAUGGACGAAAGUCUGACGGAGCAACGCCGCGUGAGUGAUGAAGGCUUUCGGGUCGUAAAACUCUGUUGUUAGGGAAGAACAAGUGCUAGUUGAAUAAGCUGGCACCUUGACGGUACCUAACCAGAAAGCCACGGCUAACUACGUGCCAGCAGCCGCGGUAAUACGUAGGUGGCAAGCGUUAUCCGGAAUUAUUGGGCGUAAAGCGCGCGCAGGUGGUUUCUUAAGUCUGAUGUGAAAGCCCACGGCUCAACCGUGGAGGGUCAUUGGAAACUGGGAGACUUGAGUGCAGAAGAGAAAGUGGAAUUCCAUGUGUAGCG